ensembl:snoRNA
CCCGAGACUAGAGUCACAUCCUGACACAGCACUUGUCCCGGUGUGCUAGAGUUCUCGGAGAGAAUCUGCUGGUCUUGAUUCACUGGUGGGGGGUGAUCAGUGCCCCUGUUAGUGCCCAGAUCAGAAACAGGC